UGGGGAAUAUUGGACAAUGGGGGCAACCCUGAUCCAGCGAUGCCGCGUGUGUGAAGAAGGCCUGAGGGUUGUAAAGCACUUUCAGUGGGGAGGAGGUAUUAAUUGUAAAUAGCGAUUAAUAUGGACGUUACCCACAGAAGAAGCACCGGCUAACUCCGUGCCAGCAGCCGCGGUAAUACGGGGGGUGCAAGCGUUAAUCGGAAUUACUGGGCGUAAAGGGUGAGUAGGUUGUUUAUUAAGUUAUCUGUGAAAGACCAGGGCUCAACCCUGGGGUGUCAGAUAAGACUGAUAGACUUGAGUAUAGGAGAGGGUAGUGGAAUUUCCGGUGUAGCGGUGAAAUGCGUAGAGAUCGGAAGGAACACCGGUGGCGAAGGCGGCUAUCUGGCCUAAUACUGACACUGAGUCACGAAAGCGUGGGGAGCAAACAGG
rnacentral:rRNA from 1 species